CCUACGGGGUGCUGCAGUGGGGAAUAUUGGACAAUGGGCGCAAGCCUGAUCCAGCAAUGCCGCGUGUGUGAAGAAGGCCUUAGGGUUGUAAAGCACUUUCAGCAAUGAAGAAGUUGUAUUGGCUAAUAUCCAAUAUAAUUGAAGUUAGUUGCAGAAGAAGUACUGGCUAACUCUGUGCCAGCAGCCGCGGUAAUACAGAGAGUGCAAGUGUUAAUCGGAAUGAGUGUGCGUAAUGGGAGAAGUUGGAUGUGAAAUCCCUGGGCUUAACCUAGGAAUUGCAUUUAAUACUUUUUAUCUAGAGUAUUGUAGGGGGAAGUGGAAUUUCCGGUGUAGCGGUGAAAUGCGUAGAUAUCGGAAGGAACACCAGUGGCGAAGGCGACUUCCUGGACAAAUACUGACACUGAGACACGAAAGCGUGGGGAGCAAACAGGAUUAGAUACCCUAGUAGUC
rnacentral:rRNA from 1 species